rnacentral:rRNA from 1 species
UACGUAGGGGGCAAGCGUUGUCCGGAAUCAUUGGGCGUAAAGAGCGUGUAGGCGGCCAGGUAGGUCUGCUGUGAAAACUCGAGGCUUAACCUCGAGCUGUCGGCGGAAACCAUCUGGCUAGAGUCCGGAAGAGGAGAUCGGAAUUCCUGGAUGUAGCGGUGAAAUGCGCAGAUAUCAGGAGGAACACCGGUGGCGAAGGCGGAUCUCUGGGCCGUAACUGACGCUGAGGAGCGAAAGCAUGGGGAGCGAACAGG